GUACACAAAAAUGCACAUGCUGUGAGCUCGAUGAGUAGGGCGGGACACGUGGUAUCCUGUCUGAAUAUGGGGGGACCAUCCUCCAAGGCUAAAUACUCCUGACUGACCGAUAGUGAACCAGUACCGUGAGGGAAAGGCGAAAAGAACCCCGGCGAGGGGAGUGAAAAAGAACCUGAAACCGUGUACGUACAAGCAGUGGGAGCACGCUUAGGCGUGUGACUGCGUACCUUUUGUAUAAUGGGUCAGCGACUUAUAUUCUGUAGCAAGGUUAACCGAAUAGGGGAGCCGAAGGGAAACCGAGUCUUAACUGGGCGUUAAGUUGCAGGGUAUAGACCCGAAACCCGGUGAUCUAGCCAUGGGCAGGUUGAAGGUUGGGUAACACUAACUGGAGGACCGAACCGACUAAUGUUGAAAAAUUAGCGGAUGACUUGUGGCUGGGGGUGAAAGGCCAAUCAAACCGGGAGAUAGCUGGUUCUCCCCGAAAGCUAUUUAGGUAGCGCCUCGUGAAUUCAUCUCCGGGGGUAGAGCACUGUUUCGGCAAGGGGGUCAUCCCGACUUACCAACCCGAUGCAAACUGCGAAUACCGGAGAAUGUUAUCACGGGAGACACACGGCGGGUGCUAACGUCCGUCGUGAAGAGGGAAACAACCCAGACCGCCAGCUAAGGUCCCAAAGUCAUGGUUAAGUGGGAAACGAUGUGGGAAGGCCCAGACAGCCAGGAUGUUGGCUUAGAAGCAGCCAUCAUUUAAAGAAAGCGUAAUAGCUCACUGGUCGAGUCGGCCUGCGCGGAAGAUGUAACGGGGCUAAACCAUGCACCGAAGCUGCGGCAGCGACACUGUGUGUUGUUGGGUAGGGGAGCGUUCUGUAAGCCUGCGAAGGUGUGCUGUGAGGCAUGCUGGAGGUAUCAGAAGUGCGAAUGCUGACAUAAGUAACGAUAAAGCGGGUGAAAAGCCCGCUCGCCGGAAGACCAAGGGUUCCUGUCCAACGUUAAUCGGGGCAGGGUGAGUCGACCCCUAAGGCGAGGCCGAAAGGCGUAGUCGAUGGGAAACAGGUUAAUAUUCCUGUACUUGGUGUUACUGCGAAGGGGGGACGGAGAAGGCUAUGUUGGCCGGGCGACGGUUGUCCCGGUUUAAGCGUGUAGGCUGGUUUUCCAGGCAAAUCCGGAAAAUCAAGGCUGAGGCGUGAUGACGAGGCACUACGGUGCUGAAGCAACAAAUGCCCUGCUUCCAGGAAAAGCCUCUAAGCAUCAGGUAACAUCAAAUCGUACCCCAAACCGACACAGGUGGUCAGGUAGAGAAUACCAAGGCGCUUGAGAGAACUCGGGUGAAGGAACUAGGCAAAAUGGUGCCGUAACUUCGGGAGAAGGCACGCUGAUAUGUAGGUGAAGUCCCUCGCGGAUGGAGCUGAAAUCAGUCGAAGAUACCAGCUGGCUGCAACUGUUUAUUAAAAACACAGCACUGUGCAAACACGAAAGUGGACGUAUACGGUGUGACGCCUGCCCGGUGCCGGAAGGUUAAUUGAUGGGGUCAGCGCAAGCGAAGCUCUUGAUCGAAGCCCCGGUAAACGGCGGCCGUAACUAUAACGGUCCUAAGGUAGCGAAAUUCCUUGUCGGGUAAGUUCCGACCUGCACGAAUGGCGUAAUGAUGGCCAGGCUGUCUCCACCCGAGACUCAGUGAAAUUGAACUCGCUGUGAAGAUGCAGUGUACCCGCGGCAAGACGGAAAGACCCCGUGAACCUUUACUAUAGCUUGACACUGAACAUUGAGCCUUGAUGUGUAGGAUAGGUGGGAGGCUUUGAAGUGUGGACGCCAGUCUGCAUGGAGCCGACCUUGAAAUACCACCCUUUAAUGUUUGAUGUUCUAACGUUGACCCGUGAUCCGGGUUGCGGACAGUGUCUGGUGGGUAGUUUGACUGGGGCGGUCUCCUCCUAAAGAGUAACGGAGGAGCACGAAGGUUGGCUAAUCCUGGUCGGACAUCAGGAGGUUAGUGCAAUGGCAUAAGCCAGCUUGACUGCGAGCGUGACGGCGCGAGCAGGUGCGAAAGCAGGUCAUAGUGAUCCGGUGGUUCUGAAUGGAAGGGCCAUCGCUCAACGGAUAAAAGGUACUCCGGGGAUAACAGGCUGAUACCGCCCAAGAGUUCAUAUCGACGGCGGUGUUUGGCACCUCGAUGUCGGCUCAUCACAUCCUGGGGCUGAAGUAGGUCCCAAGGGUAUGGCUGUUCGCCAUUUAAAGUGGUACGCGAGCUGGGUUUAGAACGUCGUGAGACAGUUCGGUCCCUAUCUGCCGUGGGCGCUGGAGAACUGAGGGGGGCUGCUCCUAGUACGAGAGGACCGGAGUGGACGCAUCACUGGUGUUCGGGUUGUCAUGCCAAUGGCACUGCCCGGUAGCUAAAUGCGGAAGAGAUAAGUGCUGAAAGCAUCUAAGCACGAAACUUGCCCCGAGAUGAGUUCUCCCUGACUCCUUGAGAGUCCUGAAGGAACGUUGAAGACGACGACGUUGAUAGGCCGGGUGUGUAAGCGCAGCGAUGCGUUGAGCUAACCGGUACUAAUGAACCGUGAGGCUUAACCUUACAACGCCGAAGGUGUUU
rnacentral:rRNA from 1 species